rnacentral:rRNA from 1 species
UACGUAGGGUGCAAGCGUUAAUCGGAAUUACUGGGCGUAAAGCGUGCGCAGGCGGUUAUGUAAGACAGGUGUGAAAUCCCCGGGCUUAACCUGGGAACUGCAUUUGUGACUGCAUAGCUAGAGUACGGUAGAGGGGGAUGGAAUUCCGCGUGUAGCAGUGAAAUGCGUAGAUAUGCGGAGGAACACCGAUGGCGAAGGCGGCAUCCUGGACCGAGAUUGACGCUGAGGCGCGAAAGCCAGGGGAGCAAACGGG